GACGAACGCUGGCGGCGUGCUUAACACAUGCAAGUUGAACGGAAAGGCCCUGCUUUUGUGGGGUGCUCGAGUGGCGAACGGGUGAGUAACACGUGAGUAACCUGCCCUUGACUUUGGGAUAACUUCAGGAAACUGGGGCUAAUACCGGAUAGGAGCUCCUGCUGCAUGGUGGGGGUUGGAAAGUUUCGGCGGUUGUGGAUGGACUCGCGGCCUAUCAGCUUGUUGGUGGGGUAGUGGCCUACCAAGGCGGCGACGGGUAGCCGGCCUGAGAGGGUGACCGGCCACAUUGGGACUGAGAUACGGCCCAG
rnacentral:rRNA from 1 species